GGCUUCUGAUGGAGAUGCUAUCGCUGGGCGCUUCAUGGCCAUCCAUCCCCUUCACUUAGCUAAUAGCCGCGGCGCGAGAACGAGGGAUCGACAGCGGAAAAAUAGACGAGUGGAAGAUUCAUCUCAUCCUCCAAAUGAGGAAGUCUGUUGGAGCUGCAUGACAGAACCGUUCCAGCACUGGCUGAAGUUAGGAGGAGACCAUGAGAACCAGUCUCCAUCUUCAUCUUCCUCCUUCUUCUUCACGUAUCUUCUCUCCUUUUAUUCUUCUUUCUCUGGUUCUUGGGGUUCCUCUCUGGUUCUAGGGGUUCCUCUCUGGCUCUCUGGGUUCCUCUCUGGUUCUAGGGGUUCCUCUCUGGUUCUAGGGGUUCCUCUCUGGCUCUCUGGGUUCCUCUCUGGUUCUCUGGGUUCCUCUCAGCUGCUUUUAGAACAUUACUGAUGUUUAAAGGUUCCUGAAGAGGUUCUGAUCUCCAGUAGCUAAAUGAAUCUGCUUAUCUCCUCAACAUACAUGAAGAGAAGUCUAUCAUUGUAUCAGUACUGCAGUAAUCCUCAGAGUACUACUACUUCCUGUACUACCACACAGCUGGGACAAAGUACUUCAUAAUAUCACUGCAGUUAGAACUUUGAUCUCUACAGCGUUGGAUCAUCUCAGAGGUUCAGUCCUCCUCAGAUACCCUGAAACAGCUUCAUGACUUCUGUCCUCCAUGUUUAGGGUUUAUAUAAGCUUUAUUUAAGGUUUGUUAGAGGUUUAUUUAAGGUUUUUAAAGGCUUAUUUGAGGUUUUUCAAAGGUUUUAUUUAAAGUUUUUUAAGGUUGAUUGAAGGUUUGUCUAAGGUUCACAAAGGUCUGUGUAGUUUAAAGGUUCCAUCAGCGUUCUGGGUCGAUCUCAGAUGUUUUAUUGACCCGUCCAUCCACCCCAACCUCUCCUCCGGCUACAGAUUUCUGAUCAGUUUGAUUUUUACCUCAGUACUAAUGCAGUAUUGAUGAUGCUGCAGUUAUUGAUCAGGAGAAAUAUUCUAAAUUAACGUCCUGCUACAAACUGUUCUCACUAUAGACACCUGAGUGGUAGAAGAUGUAAACAGCGGAUCAGCUGGAGGUUUGAUAUCAAUCAGUUAAAUUAAUCAAUCAUCUGAUCAAUCAGAUCGUCUCUGAUUCCAGCUGAUCAUCAUCUCAAUAAACAAUCACAGCCUCUGAUCUUCUAACUGCAGCUUCACUGAAAAACACUGAAAAAGACUGUACGCUGCUGACAUGAGUGUGUGUUACUGUGUGUGUGUGUGUGUGUGUGUGUGUGUGUGUGUGUGUUAACGUGUGUGUGUGUGUGUGUGUGUGUGUGUGUGUGUGUGUGUGUGUGUGUGUGUGUGUGUGUAGUUGUUUCUGCUAUACCGGUGGGGACUUUGACCUGACUAUUUGCUAUAAAGGUGGGGACUUGUCUUACGGUGGGGACCUAAAAUGAGGUCCCCACGGGUGGCAACAUCGUUUUCUUGGCCAUAUUGUUGUUAAUAAAAAUGUAAAAGUGCAAAAACGUUUGUUUAGGGUUAGGCAUUGAUUUGGUGAUGGUUAAGGUUAGUGUUAGGGUUAGGAGUUAGAUAUGAAUGGGAGUCAAUGGUAAGUCCCCACCGGUAUAGAAAAACAAACGUGUGUGUGUGUGUGUGUGUGUGUGUGUGUGUGUGUGUGUGUGUGUGUGUUACUGUGUGUGUGUGUGUGUGUGUGUGUUACUCUGUGUGUGUGUGUGUGUGUGUGUGUGUGUGUGUGUGUGUGUGUGUGUGUGUUACUGUGUGUGUGUGUGUGUGUGUUACUGUGUGUGUGUGUCUCGGUGUCUCCGGCUCAGAUGGAUGUUCCACCGGCUCUGAAAGAGCAGGAAGUAGCUCAGUGACACCCCAUUUAUACCGACACACACCAACCUGUGUGUGUGUGUGUGUGUGUGUGUGUGUGUGUGUGUGUGUGUGUGUGUGUGUGUGUGUGUGUGUGUGUGUGUGUGUGACAUCACUCUCCUUAAAUGGCCUCCAGUUCACAAUAACUGCAACAAAACCUUCCUUGUAUUUAAUUAUAGCUCCAGACAGCAGCUCUUUAUAAAGACUCUUUCAUGCCAAAGUGAAGGCAGAUUUCACUGAAUAAUGUCAACCAGUCAAAAUAGAAGAUGUGAAAUAUAAAAUUAUAUCAAUAUUCACUUUAUUGGAAGUCAGCAGUUAAUGGAUGAUCUGAUUGGAGCAUACAGAUCCUGGAUCUGAAGGUCCAGUCUCUGGUGGAUCAGAACUCCUGGAUAGAACUACACCAUGAAGACUGAAGAACCAAGAAACUUUGAGGAAAAGUUGUUGAAAAGCAUCAGUCAGGAUGAUACAAGAACAUUUAAAGUUCCUGAAAUCCAUCAUGAAGAAAUGGAAGAAGAUGGAACAUGAAUAAAUCUGACUAGAGCAGGACGUCCUCAAGACCUGAGAGACUAGAGAGGGAGGCCACCAAGACUCCUAUGACUCCUCUGAAGGAGUUACUGGAAAGAUCAUGGUGGUGGUAGUAUCAUGAUGUGAAGCAUGGUGGUAGCAUCAUGAUGAAGCAUGGUGGUGGUAGUAUCAUGAUGUGAAGCAUGGUGGUAGCAUCAUGAUGAAGCAUGGUGGCGGUAGUAUUAUGAUGUGAAGCACAGUGGUUGUAGUAUCAUGAUGUGAAGCAUGGUGGUGGUAAUAUUAUGAUGAAGCAUGGUGGUGGUAGUAUCAUGAUGAAGCAUGGUGGUGGUAGUAUUAUGAUGAAGCAUGGUGGUGGUAGUAUCAUGAUGUGAAGCACGGUGGUGGUAAUAUUAUGAUGAAGCAUGGUGGUGGUAGUAUCAUGAUGUGAAGCAUGGUGGUGGUAGUAUUACGAUGUGAAGCACGGUGGUGGUAGUAUCAUGAUGUGAAGCAUGGUGGUGGUAAUAUUAUGAUGAAGCAUGGUGGUGGUAGUAUCAUGAUGUGAAGCAUGGUGGUGGUAGUAUUACAAUGUGAAGCACGGUGGUGGUAGUAUCAUGAUGUGAAGCAUGGUGGCAGCAUCAUGAUGUGAAGCAUGGUGGUGGUAGUAUCAUGAUGAAGCAUGGUGGUGGUAGUAUCAUGAUGUGAAGCAUGGUGGUGGUAGUAUUACGAUGUGAAGCACGGUGGUGGUAAUAUUAUGAUGAAGCAUGGUGGUGGUAGUAUUACGAUGUGAAGCAUGGUGGUGGUAGUAUUACAAUGUGAAGCACGGUGGUGGUAGUAUCAUGAUGUGAAGCAUGGUGGUGGUAAUAUUAUGAUGAAGCAUGGUGGUGGUAGUAUUACGAUGUGAAGCAUGGUGGUGGUAGUAUUACAAUGUGAAGCACGGUGGUGGUAGUAUCAUGAUGUGAAGCAUGGUGGCAGCAUCAUGAUGUGAAGCAUGGUGGUGGUAGUAUCAUGAUGAAGCAUGGUGGUGGUAGUAUCAUGAUGUGAAGCAUGGUGGUGGUAGUAUUACGAUGUGAAGCAUGGUGGUGGUAGUAUCAUGAUGUGAAGCAUGGUGGUGGUAGUAUCAUGAUGAAGCACGGUGGUGGUAGUAUCAUGAUGAAGCAUGGUGGUGGUAGUAUCAUGAUGUGAAGCAUGGUGGUGGUAGUAUCAUGAUGAAGCAUGGUGGUGGUAGUAUCAUGAUGUGAAGCAUGGUGGUGGUAGUAUUACGAUGUGAAGCAUGGUGGUGGUAGUAUCAUGAUGUGAAGCAUGGUGGUGGUAGUAUCAUGAUGAAGCAUGGUGGUGGUAGUAUCAUGAUGAAGCAUGGUGGUGGUAGUAUCAUGAUGAAGCAUGGUGGUGGUGGUAUCAUGGUCUCUGGGAUCUCUGUCGUCAUGAAUGAAGUUCUUUUUUUACAUUUAUUCAGCUCGUUUUUGAAUGACUGAUUUUCCAGAACGACAACAUUAAAGUAGUUCUGAGUCUAAUCCGUCCUUAGACUCUGUUUCUGGACGUUUUUAUGGUAAUAAACUGAAUAAAUGUGUUUAAUAUUUACUUUAAAAACAGCUGUUCUGUUUGUUUCUGAUGUGUAACAGAGAUUUUAUAGAAACCAAACAGUUUAAAUGUGUUGAAAAGUGAACAUAGUUUUACUGUCUAAGUAUUUGUAGUCUUCUGUGUGUAUUAACGUCAGUGUUACUGUGGAUUUAAACAGCCAGAAUUAAUGUAAUAUAUUAAAUUAAUUGUUGUUUUUAAGUGUUAACAGAAAAUGUCAGUGUUGUAAAUACACAAUAAAGAGUGUGUAAUGAGCCUCCUGUA